rnacentral:rRNA from 1 species
GACGAACGCUGGCGGCGUGCUUAACACAUGCAAGUCGAACGGAAAGGCCCUGCUUUUGUGGGGUGCUCGAGUGGCGAACGGGUGAGUAACACGUGAGUAACCUGCCCUUGACUUUGGGAUAACUUCAGGAAACUGGGGCUAAUACCGGAUAGGAGCUCCUGCUGCAUGGUGGGGGUUGGAAAGGUUCGGCGGUUGGGUAUGGACUCGCGGCUUAUCAGCUUGUUGGUGGGGUAGUGGCUUACCAAGGCUUUGACGGGUAGCCGGCCUGAGAGGGUGACCGGCCACAUUGGGACUGAGAUACGGCCCAGACUCCUACGGGAGGCAGCAGUGGGGAAUAUUGCACAAUGGGCGGAAGCCUGAUGCAGCAACGCCGCGUGCGGGAUGACGGCCUUCGGGUUGUAAACCGCUUUCGCCUGUGACGAAGCGUGAGUGACGGUAAUGGGUAAAGAAGCACCGGCUAACUACGUG